rnacentral:rRNA from 1 species
GAUGAACGCUAGCUACAGGCUUAACACAUGCAAGUCGAGGGGAAACGGCAUUGAGUGCUUGCACUCUUUGGACGUCGACCGGCGCACGGGUGAGUAACGCGUAUCCAACCUUCCCAUUACUGUGGGAUAACCUGCCGAAAGGCAGACUAAUACCGCAUAGUCUUCGAUGACGGCAUCAGAUUUGAAGUAAAGAUUUAUCGGUAAUGGAUGGGGAUGCGUCUGAUUAGCUUGUUGGCGGGGUAACGGCCCACCAAGGCAACGAUCAGUAGGGGUUCUGAGAGGAAGGUCCCCCACAUUGGAGCUGAGACACGGUCCAAACUCCUACGGGAGGCAGCAGUGAGGAAUAUUGGUCAAUGGACGGAAGUCCGAACCAGCCAAGUAGCGUGUAGGAUGACGGCCCUAUGGGUUGUAAACUGCUUUUGUAUGGGGAUAAAGUUAGGGACGUGUCCCUAUUUGCAGGUACCAUACGAAUAAGGACCGGCUAAUUCCGUGCCAGCAGCCGCGGUAAUACGGAAGGUCCAGGCGUUAUCCGGAUUUAUUGGGUUUAAAGGGAGCGUAGGCUGGAGAUUAAGUGUGUUGUGAAAUGUAGACGCUCAACGUCUGAAUUGCAGCGCAUACUGGUUUCCUUGAGUACGCACAACGUUGGCGGAAUUCGUCGUGUAGCGGUGAAAUGCUUAGAUAUGACGAAGAACUCCGAUUGCGAAGGCAGCUGACGGGAGCGCAACUGACGCUUAAGCUCGAAGGUGCGGGUAUCAAACAGG